ensembl:miRNA
GUUCCUCCGUGGGUGGGGAUUUGUUGCAUUACUUGUAGCUGUGUGUAGAGUAUUGCACUUGUCCCGGCCUGUGGAGGAAAG